AGAGCGAACGCUGGCGGCAGGCCUAAUACAUGCAAGUCGAACGGAUCCUUCGGGAUUAGUGGCGGACGGGUGAGUAACACGUGGGAACGUGCCCUUUGGUUCAGAACAACUCAGGGAAACUUGAGCUAAUACUGGAUAAGCCCUUCGGGGGAAAGAUUUAUCGCCAUUGGAGCGGCCCGCGUCUGAUUAGCUAGUUGGUAGGGUAAAGGCCUACCAAGGCUACGAUCAGUAGCUGGUCUGAGAGGAUGAUCAGCCACACUGGGACUGAGACACGGCCCAGACUCCUACGGGAGGCAGCAGUAGGGAAUCUUGCGCAAUGGGCGAAAGCCUGACGCAGCCAUGCCGCGUGAAUGAUGAAGGUCUUAGGAUUGUAAAAUUCUUUCAGCGGGACGAUAAUGACGGUACCGCAGAAGAAGCCCGGCUAACUUCGUGCCAGCAGCCGC
rnacentral:rRNA from 1 species